rnacentral:tRNA from 1 species
GCCUAUUUAAUAUAUAUAGUAUAUUUGACUUCCAAUCAAAAAGAUCAUUAAAUGAAAUAGGCA